AUACGUAGGUGCCAAGCGUUAUCCGGAUUUACUGGGCGUAAAGGGCGUGUAGGCGGUCUUGCAAGUCAGAAGUGAAAUUCCUGAGCUCAACUCGGGCGCUGCUUCUGAAACUGCAGGACUUGAGUGCUGGAGGGGAUAGCGGAAUUCCUAGUGGAGCGGUAAAAUGCGCAGAUAUUAGGAAGAACACCGGUGGCGAAGGCGGCUAUCUGGACAGUAACUGACGCUGAGGCGCGAAAGCGUGGGGAGCAAACAGGAUUAGAUACCCUGGUAGUCCACGCUGUAAACGAUGAUUACUAGGUGUGGGGGGACUGACCCCUUCCGUGCCGCAGUUAACACAAUAAGUAAUCCACCUGGGGAGUACGGCCGCAAGGUUGAAACUCAAAUGAAUUGACGGGG
rnacentral:rRNA from 1 species